CAGUCGCCGCGGGAAUACGGAGGGUGCAAGCGUUAAUCGGAAUUACUGGGCGUAAAGCGUGCGUAGGCGGUUCGUUAAGUCUGUUGUGAAAGCCCCGGGCUCAACCUGGGAAUGGCAAUGGAUACUGGCGAGCUAGAGUGUGUCAGAGGAUGGUGGAAUUCCCGGUGUAGCGGUGAAAUGCGUAGAGAUCGGGAGGAACAUCAGUGGCGAAGGCGGCCAUCUGGGACAACACUGACGCUGAGGCACGAAAGCGUGGGGAGCAAACAGGAUUAGAUACCUCCGUAGUCCCUGUCUCUUACAC
rnacentral:rRNA from 1 species